UACGUAGGGGGCAAGCGUUGUCCGGAUUUAUUGGGCGUAAAGAGCGUGUAGGCGGCCGUACAGGUCAGCUGUGAAAACUCGAGGCUCAACCUCGAGACGUCGGUUGAAACCGUACGGCUAGAGUCCGGAAGAGGAGAGUGGAAUUCCCGGUGUAGCGGUGAAAUGCGCAGAUAUCGGGAAGAACACCCGUGGCGAAGGCGGCUCUCUGGGACGGUACUGACGUUCAGGCACGAAAGCGUGGGGAGCAAACAGG
rnacentral:rRNA from 1 species